AGAGCAACCCGCUGAAUUUAAGCAUAUAAGUAAGUGGAGGAUUUGAAACCAAAUGGGAAUUCUUAAGUAAUGGCGAAUGAACAGGGAUAUGCCUAGUGUGGAAAUUGAGGUUGAUGACCUUGAAUUGUUUUCUUCAGACACUCUUCCAGCAAAGGUGCACAUGUAGAUGUUGUGGAAAAAGAUUUCGAGGAAGGUGACAUGCCUGUCUGAGUUGUGUGACCCUUUGUAUACGGGAUGUGUUUUACAAGUCACGUUCCUUGGAAUUGGAAUGCAAAGUUGGUGGUAAUUUUCACCCAAGGCUAAUUAUGAUUGUGAAACCGAUAGCAAACAAGUACCAUGAGGGAAACAUGAAAAGGACUUUGAAAAGAGGGUUAAAAGUGCUUGAAAUUGCUGAACUGGAAGCGAAGGAUGUCUGAGUGCCGAUGAUAGAUUGCUGCCGUUGCAUGCUGCUUGAUUGGUUUGCGACAUGCAAGCUUGUGCAUGGAGUUAUGCAAGGGUUGUGUUGCUGUCGUGGCGUGCUAGUGCCUUUGUGUGUUGGAGCAUGUGUGUCGAAGCAUGGAAGCUCGCUGGUUGAGUGUGUGAAUGCUCGGUUGUUGCUCAGACACAUUGAGUGUAAUGGUUUCUUUUGGAAUGUAUCAGCUUCCACCUGUGGUUGUGGAUCCUAUUCUUGUGUGCAAGCCAUUGAAACUAGUGAAUGGACAUCUUUCGACCCGUCUUGAAACACGGACCAAGGAGUCUAUAAGGUGGCAAACCUUGGAUGCGCAAUGAAAGUAAAUGUAGGUGGGAUCCGCAAGGUGCACCAUCGACCGACCAGGAUCUUUUUGUGAAAGGUUUGAGUAAGAGCAUAUUUGUUGGGACCCGAAAGAUGGUGAACUAUGCUUGAGGAAAGCAAAGUCAGGGGAAACUCUGAUGGAGGCUUGUAGCGAUACUGACGUGCAAAUCGUUCGUCAUACUUGAGUAUAGGGGCGAAAGACUAAUCGAACCAUC
rnacentral:rRNA from 1 species